GGAGGGGGCGAGCGUUAUUCGGAAUUAUUGGGCGUAAAGGGCAGGUAGGCGGCUUUGUAUGUCUCCUGUGAAAGCCCUCGGCUCAACCGAGGAAUUGCAGGGGAAACUGCGGAGCUUGAGUCCGGGAGAGGCUAGUGGAAUUCCCAGUGUAGCGGUGAAAUGCGUAGAUAUUGGGAGGAACACCAGUGGCGAAGGCGGCUAGCUGGACCGGUACUGACGCUGAGCUGCGAAAGCUAGGGGAGCGAACGGGGAUUAGAUACCCCGGUAGUCCUGGCUGUAAACGCUGAGCACUUGGUGUGGCGGGUAUCGACCCCCUGCCGUGCCGAAGCUAACGCAUUAAGUGCUCCGCCUGGGGAGUACGGUCGCAAGGCUG
rnacentral:rRNA from 1 species